AGAGGCCCUGUGCUGCAUUUAGCAGCAUGGACAGGGAAUCCUCAGGGCUUUUCAGGCAUUAGAAAUCCACUCUGCAGCCCCAUUCUGACAGAAGAGGAUCCCUGGUCUGCCUGCUGGAAACCCCUUCUUCCAGGACCACUCUUAGGAGAGGAGCACAUCUCCCCUGCAGGGCCACUGUGCUAAGGAGCAGGGGUACACUGCUUUCCACUGCAUUGCCCAAGACCACCAGAAACCAGGCUGAUGCAGCCGCAGGAGUAAAGGAAAUGUUUCACCUCAAUGUAAUGGAUGGGGAGACUGAAGCCAAUGGAGGUGAAGGGACUUGCCCAAGGUCACAUAGCCGGGUGUCACUCCAGAUCCCCAGUGCCAGAGCUGCACUAGCUUCCUUUCCAUUUUCAUCCAACUCAACAAAGGUUUGUCCACCUCUGUGCAACUUUCUGUGCAAGCUGCUGUGUGUGUGACUCAGCUUCUGUCAAUUGUGUCCUCCCUCCCACAAGGCCAAGGACAGAACAAGGAAGUCCUGUUUGUCUUUAAUAAGCACAUCACC